GACGUAGGUGGCGAACGUUAUCCGGAAUUAUUGGGCGUAAAGGGUGCGUAGAUGGCCUGAUAAGUUAACAGUGGUAAAUCGAGGCUCAACCUCGUGGAAACUGAUAAUACUGUCUGGCUCGAGUGCAGAAGAGGUUAACGGAAUUCCAUGUGGAGCGGUAAAAUGCAUAGAUAUAUGGAAGAACACCAAUAACGGCGAAGGCAGUUAACUAUUCUGUUACUGACAUUGAGGCACGAAAGCGUGGGGAGCAAAACGG
rnacentral:rRNA from 1 species